rnacentral:rRNA from 1 species
CAAUAUGAUUUCACUAGUGAUUUCUGGUUGAUCCCGGCGGAGGCUACUGCUAUUGGGAUUCGAUUAAGCCAUGCGAGUUGAAUGAAUUUAGAUUCAUGGCGUACGGCUCAGUAACACGUGGAUAACUUACCCUUAGGACUGGGAUAACUCUGGGAAACUGGGGAUAAUACCGGAUAUUAGGCUAUGGCUGGAAUGCUUUGCCUUUGAAAUGUUUCUUGUAUUCGCCUAAGGAUAGAUCUGCGGCUGAUUAGGUCGUUGGUGGGGUAAUGGCCCACCAAGCCUAUGAUCGGUACGGGUUGUGAGAGCAAGAGCCCGGAGAUGGAACCUGAGACAAGGUUCCAGACCCUACGGGGUGCAGCAGGCGCGAAACCUCCGCAAUGUACGAAAGUGCGACGGGGGGAUCCCAAGUGUUAUUCUUAAUAGGAUAACUUUUCAUUAGUGUAAAAAGCUUUUAGAAUAAGAGCUGGGCAAGACCGGUGCCAGCCGCCGCGGUAACACCGGCAGCUCAAGUGGUAGCUGUUUUUAUUGGGCCUAAAGCGUUCGUAGCCGGUUUGAUAAGUCUUUGGUGAAAGCUUAUGGCUUAACUGUAAGAAUUGCUGAAGAUACUGUCAGACUUGAAGUCGGGAGAGGUUAGAGGUACUACCGGGGUAGGGGUGAAAUCCUAUAAUCCUGGGAGGGACACCUGU